CAGUAGCCGCGGUAAUACGUAGGGUGCAAGCGUUAAUCGGAAUUACUGGGCGUAAAGCGUGCGCAGGCGGUUAUAUAAGACAGAUGUGAAAUCCCCGGGCUCAACCUGGGAACUGCAUUUGUGACUGUAUAGCUAGAGUACGGCAGAGGGGGAUGGAAUUCCGCGUGUAGCAGUGAAAUGCGUAGAUAUGCGGAGGAACACCGAUGGCGAAGGCAAUCCCCUGGGCCUGUACUGACGCUUAUGCACGAAAGCGUGGGGAGCAAACAGGAUUAGAUACCCCCGUAGUCCCUGUCUCUUAUAC
rnacentral:rRNA from 1 species